CCGCCAGAAAACUACGAGCGAAAAGCUUAAAACUCAAAGGACUUGGCGGUGCUCCAUACCGACUUAGAGGAGCCUGUCCUAUAAUCGAUACCCCACGCUAAACCUCACCAAUCUUUGCCAAACCAGCCUAUAUACCGCCGUCGUAAACCUACCUUAUGAGAGAAAAACAGUAUGUGCAAGAGUUUAAUAACUAAAACGUCAGGUCAAGGUGUAGCUAAUAGAA
rnacentral:rRNA from 1 species